GAUGAACGCUAGCGGCAGGCUUAACACAUGCAAGUCGAACGGCAGCGCGGGUAGCAAUACCUGGCGGCGAGUGGCAAACGGGUGCGGAACACGUACGCAACAUACCCUUGUCUGGGGCAUAGCCUUCUGAAAAGGAGAUUAACACCCCAUAAGAUAAUAGAGUGGCAUCACUUAGUUAUUAAAAUUUAUUGGACAGGGAUUGGCGUGCGUCCUAUUAGCUAGUUGGUAGGGAACGGCCUACCAAGGCGACGAUAGGUAGCUGGUGUGAGAGCACGACCAGCCACACGGGCACUGAGACACGGGCCCGACUCCUACGGGAGGCAGCAGUGAGGAAUAUUGGUCAAUGGACGCAAGUCUGAACCAGCCAUGCCGCGUGAAGGAUGAAGGCGUUCUGCGUUGUAAACUUCUUUUACCAGGGAAGUAAACCUUCUUUUUCUAAGGAAGCCGACGGUACCUGAGGAAUAAGCACCGGCUAACUCCGUGCC
rnacentral:rRNA from 1 species